CGGGGAGGCAGUCCUUGGUGUUUUAUCGGGAUUCGGGGAAGCAUCGACGGUUCUUUUUGCCUGUGUGUUUUCACUUAUGUGUGCUCAUUUCCCUCGCACACCGCCCCCGCCCCCUGUCCCAGCAGCGGCUUGCACCUAGCAAAGGACACCUGACCCGCUCUCGCUUUGUUUCAAAGAGAAAAGGAUCCUCUACUCUAAGGUGUUUACAGUGCUCUGAUUAAGAAAUUAAGGCAUACCCUAACCUCAGAGAUUAAAAUGUGCAGCCUGUGCUACAGUCACCAUAGAGGGAAAGGACAUCUGCAACGUGAGUAUGUCUCUCCAGGUAGGCAAGGUACCAGUAUGAGCAAAUGGUACUCAGACUGCAGUCUGAGGGAGGUGUCAAUAUGCUCUGAGAUAUGACUGACCUCCUGGAUUUAUCAAAGAAGCACUGAAAUUACUUUUCUCUCCUUCUCUGCUUUCCAGUUCUAUGUUUUCACGAAGUCUGACAUUUUUUACAUAUAUAUAUAUAUAUAUAUAUAUGUACUUUUUCCCCCUAGUCUUCAGGUUAAAUUUAGAGUUAUUACCUUUCUCUUCAGCAUACCUUGAAGUGAAGAAGUUCCUACAGAACAGUUGAUUGACCUUUGUAAUACUUAGGAAAACAAGAGUGAAAUGAGGAAGCUGUUAUAGGUUAGACAUACAGCUCUAUUCUGUUGUUCAAAUCCCUACAGAGAACAGAAGCAUGGAAAAGAAUAUAAAAGAUGUUUAAAUAUUGGCUUCCUCCUUGGUCAUUUAAUACUAAAGUCUGGAAAUUGUCCUGUUACUUUCCAUGUGUGACAAAUGGUGUGGGGAUGCUAACAUGAAUUAGAAGUAGAAGAAAAAUAAAAACAUAUAUGUAGAAAUUAUUUAAAAUGUUCUUCUUGCUAUUUUUGAAAAGAAAAAUAUUGUCUUGAGUGAGUGGGUUCACAAAUAAAUAUUAACAAGUUUUAAAUUUAAUAACAAUUGUUUGAACAUUCUUUUGCUCUUUAGAAAAAGGGACAAUUUAUGGAGAUAUUGUCAAACAUAUUUUUAAUCAGUACACAUCCUUGUUGUCUAUAUUAAAUGAAUGCUUAAGCAAUAGGAGUUUGAAUAGAACUACAUUACACUGAAAUACAUUUAUAUAGUACUAUAAGUGACAUUGUGCUCCUCUCAGGUUCAUCACCAAAAGCAUGAAAUAGACUAUGAGCUUUUGGGUUAUGAAUGUAGUUUGUCCACACUUAAUGUACUGUACCUUUUUCUUCUGGACCAAUGUAUUUUCUGGGAAUACCGAAAACAAUUGAAUAUUGCCACAAAUUUGUAAAUGAAUGGGUUAUUAAGAUAUUUUAUUUUAUAGACACCUUUCCUUAUUUAUUGAUUUCUCUCACAAAUCUUGACAAUUUUUUUGCAUUUGCUGUUUAAUAAUGACCAGUUUCACUGAGUGUUGUAGUUUAAUCCCAGCCCCACACAGCCACUCCCUCCCUCCUCCCUGGUGGGACAGGGAGAGAAUUGGAAGUGCAAAAGUGAGAAAACUCCUGGGUUGAGGCAAAGACAGUUUAACAAGUAAAGCAAAAACUGUGUGCACAAGCAAAGCAGAACAAGGAAUUCAUUCACCAUUUCCCAUGGGCAGGCAGCUGUUCAGCCACCCCCAGGACAGCAGGGCUCCAUCUCACGUAAUGGUGAUUUGGGAUUACAACACCAAAAUUCUGCAUGCACACACACACA